CCCCGCUGGGCUCCUGAUUCUUUUCUACUGUUGCCUAGUCUCCUCUCUGACUUGACCGUUGAGAGUCCCCGCCGGAGGCAUCUUCGGUUAGUGUGGAUUUCUCUUGCAGGUGCUCGUUCCCGGCGACCAGGCGACGAGAGGAUUGGCCGCAACAAUAUUGAUUAAUAUAAUAUAUAUUCAGAUAACUUUUUGGAUAAUCCACUUAUUUUCUAUAUUUUUAAAAAUUCUUAAAUAAUUGGGAAG
rnacentral:lncRNA from 1 species